rnacentral:rRNA from 1 species
UACGGAGGGGGCUAGCGUUGUUCGGAAUUAUUGGGCGUAAAGGGCGCGUAGGCGGCCGGAUAAGUCUGAUGUGAAAUCCCUCGGCCCAACCGGGGAACUGCAUCUGAAACUGUUCGGCUUGAGUCCGGGAGAGGGUAGUGGAAUUCCCAGUGUAGCGGUGAAAUGCGUAGAUAUUGGGAGGAACACCGGUGGCGAAGGCGGCUACCUGGACCGGUACUGACGCUGAGGCGCGAAAGCGUGGGGAGCGAACAGG